rnacentral:lncRNA from 1 species
UAUAAUAUAUACAUAUAUAGAGCUAGCCUGGUAUACAAUCGGCAGCACGUAGACUAUACAACUUCCAAAUCGACGAUCGGCUCUACUAGACUUGAUCUAUACUAUUAUAAGUAUUUGGAAACUAAGUUUUAUAGUUUUUCGACAUUAUUUGGCUAGUGAUCAAAAGAUCUCAAAAUUGACAAUUUUAAUGGUAGAUGUGAUGCGUUUGUGAGUUUAACGGUGUAAAAUAAUCCAAAUCUGAUGAAACUUUUAUAGAAAUUUUUUUUCACUAUUUAGAGUAAGAUCAGUAUCUCUGAUCUUAAAUUCAAAUCUUUUAUCAUCAUUUUUUAAAAUACUGUGCUCAAAUAGCUAAAGAUACUAAAGCAGUCAUAUAGAAUUUGAUCAAUUUUGCACGGCAAAUUCCUAAUCUCAUUUUACUCUUUUUCUUUUCAGUUUAAUAUUUGUUAACUAAAAAAUAUAUAAACAUCAUUUUUUAACAACCUAAGUUUUUAUAGUAUAACGAUUGUUUCAUAUGAUAUCAGAGUAGGAGGUCCUGAAUUCAAGUCCUGUUAUGCUCCUAAUAUUAUUAAUUUCCUACCAUUUAAUCAAAUCCACGUCGUGGAUCUUACAAAAAGUCUUAAAUCCAAAUGUGAGAAAAACUGUUAAAUAAAAAAAUAUAUAAAUACUGUUCUUUAACAGUUUAAGUUUUUAAAAUAUAACGAUUGUUUCACAAUAUUAUUGCAUGCUUUGACAAUAUAAAAACAUUUCAGUUAAAGAAGCAUAAAGAAAAUUGCUGAAUAUAAAGUAUUAACCAUCUAUGGAGAGGUGAUAGCUCAACUUUUUUUUAAAAAAAAAAGAAAAGAAAAGAAAAGAAAAGGAAGUAGAGGGACCAGAUUCCAAAUGACUGGUAUGUAGAGAGAAAUUUUUACUAUUUCAGAUGUGAAGGAACAGAAGCAUUUAUGAAGGUGGUGUGAAGUGUGAACACUGCAUACUUAGCCCCAGUGGAAGAUGAGAUAAGUAUGUAUAUAUAUAAUAUAGGGUUAAUUUCAUAUAGGUCAUGCAAAUAUAAUGAAUGACAAAUAUAUUUUUAAAAAGUUUAAUUUUUAUAUGUUGUUUCUAUAAAAAUUCUGAUAUUUUCAAAUAUUUGCUACUGUAAGAGAAUUAUUUAUAUUUUCAAUUUUGCCAUCACAAAUAUAUCCCUCUAAAGGUCAUAAUAAUAUAAUAUAAAGAGAUAAAAAUGUCGAAAAUUAAUCAGAGUUAAGUAUUUAACCUAUAGUUAACUAAAUUUUUCUAACGGCAGAAACAUAUUUAAAAAUAUCAAAAUUUUUAAAGGAACAAUAUAUGAAAGUUAAAUUUUAUA